AUUGAACGCUGGCGGUAUGCUUAACACAUGCAAGUCGAACGAUGAAAGGUGCUUGCACCUGGAUUAGUGGCGGACGGGUGAGUAACGCGUAGGAAUCUACCGAUUAGUGGGGGACAACGUGUGGAAACGCACGCUAAUACCGCAUACGCCCUGAGGGGGAAAGGAGGGGACCGUAAGGCCUUUCGCUAAUCGAUGAGCCUGCGUUGGAUUGGCUAGAUGGUGGGGUAAAGGCCUACCAUGGCGACGAUCUGUAGCGGGUCUGAGAGGAUGAUCCGCCACACUGGGACUGAGACACGGCCCCGACUCCUACGGGAGGCAGCAGUGGGGAAUAUUGGACAAUGGGGGGAACCCUGAUCCAGCCAUGCCGCGUGUGUGAAGAAGGCCUUAUGGUUGUAAAGCACUUUAAGCGAGGAGGAGGCUCUUUUGGUUAAUACCCAAGAUGAGUGGACGUUACUCGCAGAAUAAGCACCGGCUAACUACGUGCCAGCCGCCGCAGUAAAAC
rnacentral:rRNA from 1 species